GACAUUCUCAAAAAUACCUUCCCUCAGAGGCCAGUAUGACUGCUGUCUCAAUCUUGCCACUCUGCUGUAAAAUUUUGCUCUGUCUCCUAUACAGUGAGUGCUGCCAACAUCUGGCAUACUAGAAUUGAUCUACUGGGCACUGCAGCCUAGUGGCUAAAAGUCCUGCCACUUACUAACCAUGGGACCUUGGACAUGUUCUUCAACUGCUGUGUGUUAUGAGGAUUAAAUGAUUUAAUCCAUAAAAAAUGCUUGAAGAAUGCCAACAUACACAAUGUUGCUCCAACAGCCAAGUUAUGAUCUUGGAAGAGUUUGCUGUCCAGUGACUUCCUGAUGGCAUUCAAGGUUGGCAUAGAACGCUACCUGGCCCAUGGGUUACUCGCCAUCUAAAACCAAAAAUCAGGACAUAUUUAUAUCUUAUUGCUAUGUCCAAAGGUUGAUUUUUCUUCACUUGCCUCUCUUGAAGGUAGUUGUGGCAAUAAAGUGUAGUCUCCAUGAAAGGGAUGUGAGCAGAAGUCAUGUGUGCCACUUCUGGUUCAUCAACUCAAAGGCAAAGGUACUUUUUGAGGACUUCCAGCACCCUCUUCCAACAGACUGGAAGAUGGAUGUGGAUAUGAAACGACUUCAACCACACAGACCAGGACAUCAGUCUAGGGGCUGGCAGAGGUGAGCAUCUUCUGUUUGGCAUUUCCACAUGUAAUAAGUUAAGAACUGAUUUGAGAAGAUAUCCAAAAAAUGCAAUUGUAUAAAUCCAAAUAAAAAAUUUAAAUAAUCA